CAGCCGCCGCGGGAAUACGUAGGGUGCGAGCGUUAAUCGGAAUUACUGGGCGUAAAGCGUGCGCAGGCGGUUGUGUAAGACAGGUGUGAAAUCCCCGGGCUUAACCUGGGAACUGCGCUUGUGACUGCACAGCUAGAGUAUGGUAGAGGGGGGUGGAAUUCCACGUGUAGCAGUGAAAUGCGUAGAGAUGUGGAGGAACACCGAUGGCGAAGGCAGCCCCCUGGGCCAAUACUGACGCUCAUGCACGAAAGCGUGGGGAGCAAACAGGAUUAGAUACCCGCGUAGUCCCUGUCUCUUAUAC
rnacentral:rRNA from 1 species